CGCAAGAGUGUGUGGAGCAGUUCGUCGUCAGUUUCCCCCGGUUCACCGUCUCUCCACCCGUUUACAGGAACGUUACUGAUGUAAAUGCGCUAUGAAUGCCCAUCGACCCAGCCAUUGAGAAAGAUCACCAACUGCAAGAGCGGACACCAGAGAACCCACUGUCUUCAUCAAGAGACAUCAAGUGCUGGCAGGAGGUGGCUGCGGGUAACUGUGACGUCACCACUUUGGUGUGAGCGCCAUCCUUGGGCCACGCUAGUUCAGUUCAUCCUUCAGUCCGUGAGGAGGAACCCAAGAGAGACAUGGAAAAAUUGUGCAUCUGACUUGGUGGAAAUAAAAACAUAGAGUAUUUUAGAAGAUUUUUCACUGCGUGUGAGAUCGUUGCUUACUUUCUUGUUAUACCAAAGAACAUUAUACAAAAGAAGACGACAGUUCAGAUUUAUUUGGAGUGAAAUACAGUCUAAUCAAUAUUUUCGUUAUUUGUGUUACUUUUGAAAUGAAAUGGUAUCUUUAAACCCAACUACAUGAGGUGCUCAGUAAACUUUGAAGUUGAGUGGACACUGGUGACUGUUGGCCCUGUGUUUCCAGUGUAAUUUUGUGUGAAAGCAGUGAUUAACAAUGA